CUGAAGGCUAGGGGGAGAGCCUUCCAGUUGACUGCAGAGGAGGUCCGCACAGUGCCUGACGUCGUGGCUGGUAUGUAUUCUUUCAUGUACUUAAUUUUAUGUUGAGAUAUUGUGCUUAUAUUAUGAUAUGCAUAGGUACUUUUCUUGUGAGUUAUGUACUUGCCUUGGUGUUAUUUGACAUGGGUGCGAGUCGGUCUUUUGUAUCUUUGGCUUUUAGUCAGCACAUCAGUAUUAGUCGAGAGGCGUUGAGUCGACCUCUGAGAGUUUCCAUUGUAACAGCCCAGAUUCCUACGUAUUAUUUAUUCAUAUAUCUUUGGUGUUUUGUGAGGGGACUCGGCGAGUUGGAGCUCAAACUCGCCGAGUAGGAUCGCGGUUUUGGACGCGGGUUCGCGCCUGGACUCGGCGAGUCCAAGGAAUGGAGUCGGCGAGUCCACGCUGUUUAAUGAAACCCUAAUUUCCCGGUCCUGAGCCCUAUUUAAAGGACCUUAUGGCCCUUCAUUGCGGCUACCUUGACCUUGAGAGCACCAGAGCAGCUGAGAGUUCUUGUGAGUGAGAUAAGAGGCCAUUAUUCACCAAUUUUGUGUGUGUUUGCAAGAAAGGAAGAGGAAAGUCAAGCUAGGAGAGUUGGGGAGCUUGGAUCUACUUCCAUUUCGACAGAGGAAGCUACUUGAGGUAACAUUCAGAGCUUAUUCUCGUGUUUUUGUUGAUAUGGCCAAAUCUAGGGUUUCUUCAUGCCUUGUUUGCCUUGUAUUUGGAGUGUGAGAGGUCCCUUGGGGAAAUGGUACCUAGAUCUGGACCUUAGUGGGUCCAGAGAGUCCCAAAUGCCCUGCUUUAUGCCUUUCCUUUUGAGUUGGGAACUUAGGUUACCAUUUUAGAUGUCAUUUCAUCAAAAGAAGCCUUGUAGGCGUUGCAUGGUAGCCAAGAUGGUAACUUUACGUGAUGAAUGUGCUUGGGAGGGCUAGAUCUAUGAGUUGUUAGAGCAGAUCUGACCUCAGAAGCGAGAUUGAGUUGAUGCAUGGCAUGGACUCGCCGAGUCCGAAGAACAGACUCGGCGAGUAGCAUGAAGAUUGUCCUUAACCACUCAGCGAGUGGUCUUGCCGAGUUAAGGGUUGACUCAGUGAGUCAGGGAGAGUUAGAGAGGGUUGACAGGUGGACUGAGUCGAGCUGGAACUCGCCGAGUUGUUCUUGAGACUCGGCGAGUUGAGUCGUGGUGGCCCCGCGAUUCAUGCCAGGUGGAACUCGUCGAGUCAGGGAAGUACUCGACGUGUCAAGAGAGGAUCCUAGGGAGUCAGUGAACACGUAUAGACUCGCCGAGUCGCUCUAGUGCACUCGCCGAGUCCGGUCAAAGUUGACCGUUGACCGUUGACCAGAGUUGACCAGUGUUGACUUGAUAGGGGUAGUCAACCUUAGUUGAGAAAGUGUUAAUUAGAGAUAUACUGUGUUAUAGGAGGAUUAUAGCUCGGAGGAUCGAGCGCGAGUGAUUUCCGGGAUUUGCGAGUUAUCGAGAUACGCGAGGUGAGUCUUCUCACUAUACUUUACCUUGAGUAGGUAAUCAGAGUUAUGUGACAGAGUAUUUGUAUGCUAUAUGUAUGUUAUGUGUUGUACUGCAUUAUUUCUAUGUGAUUUAUGCUGUGCAUGUUUAUAGAGUUGGAACCGGAAGGUUCCCAGAGUUAGAACCAGUGGGUUCACAGAGUAGGGUCUACGGACCCACAGAGUUAUAGCCUCGAGUGGCUAAUAUGUGUUAUGUGUGGUAUUUUGGGGAACUCACUAAGCUUUGUGCUUACAGUGUUAGUGUUUUUUGUUUCAGGUACUAGUGAUGACCGUGGGAAGGCGCCGGCUUGAUCUGUACACAUGCAUUGAAUUUUUAUGAUAUGUGAUCUUGGGAUUGUUGUAUGAUAUGGAUUGGAGUCUUAAAACAUUGAUGUUUUUAUGAAAAUUAAAUGAAAAUGUUUUUAUAUUAUGCGAAAAAUUAUUUUGAAAUUCACGGUGUUACAAGUUGGUAUCAGAGCCUUGGUUUGAGGGAUUCGAGUACACCUUCGGGCGUAUUUGAACUCAAACUGAGGAUUUGAGAAGUAUUUUCAAAAAGAGUAAAAGAUUUUUGGAAAAACGCAGAGCAGAGUUGUGUGUACGAUCAGUCCGCGCCCGAACGGUGAUUUCCCAAAAUACCCUCAUGUUAUGUGAUAUUGAUAUUGAUAUGAUGUAUUCGCAUGCUAGAGUAGGCUAGGUAUUCCUAUUAGGACUAGAGUGGCCUGAUUUGUGAUGCCUUAGCCUAGGAAGAGGUGAGCUGCUAUGAGAUGCUUGAGAGUGAGUAGGUAGCAGCGAGGGGUUUAUGAGAGAUCUAUUAGAGAGUAGCCUGUGCAUGAUAGAGUACUUGGAAUUUGGGAUCCGAAGAGGAGGACUUGGGGUGUAUUCUGAUACGGUGCGGACAGUAGUAUUGGGCCCGUACUACUGAAAGCACCGGAGCGGUGUACAGCCCAAGUAAGAAUCUUUGGAAUACCAAGGAUCAAGGAGGGAUGAGUUGUCGAGUGUGAGUAUGCUCGAAUGGAUUCUAAUUUAUCGUAUGUUGUAUUUCAGAGGUAGAUCAUGGUGAGGACACGUUUGAUGCCUGAGAGCAGUGAUACCAGUGAUGAGGAGAUCCGCCGGAUCAUCCAUGAGGAGGUGGCUGCGGCCAUCAGGGCAGAGAUACCAGAGAUGUUCGGGUCUAUUAAGACCACGCUGAUUGAGACCUUUGACGAGCGUUAUGCCGCUCUUUCUGAGGCUGCUGUUGCAGCGGCCACCGCAGCUAUUGCUGCCGCGAGGCCGCAAGGUGGUGAUGCGUUGCUGUUCCGGGAGUUCAGCAACACAAAACCACCAGAGUUUGAUGGGACCCAGGACCCGGUGGCAGCUAUGAGGUGGAUUUCUGAUAUAGAGGGGUGUUUCUUCACUUGCUCAUCUCCUGAGCAUUUGAAGGUUCGGUUCGCGCUGAACCAGCUUCGCUUGGGAGCGAAGGACUGGUGGAAGUUUGUGACGGCGCACUUUACGCCUGCUGAGCUUGCGGCAGUGACCUGGGAGAGGUUCACUGCCAUGUUCCGAGAUGAGUACGUUCCCCAGGUGGAGAGGGAGCGUUUGGCCCAGGAGUUUCUGACCCUCAAGCAGGGUACUGAGUCUGUUACGGCGAUUACCAGGAUGUUCCAUGAGAGGGCGAUGUUCUGCCCUGAGCACGUGUCCACUGAGCAGGCACGUAUGAGCCGAUAUUUGAGUAUCUUGAGGCGAGACAUUCGGGAGUUCGCGGCGAACUCCUCGUACCGGACAUUUGCCGAGCUUCAGGCAAAUGCCCGGAAGAGGGAGAUUGAGCUAGAGACUCAGGCCAGGGAGGAGGCGGAGUCUCAGGGGAGGGAUCGGCGACCGGCACAGUCUCAGCCGGCAGCCAAGCGGGCCAAGCCCGCUGAUCCCAAACCAGGGAGCCAGAAGGGCCGCACUUGUGGGAAGUGUGGCAAGGGUCAUGAUGGAGUCUGUAGAGCGGGAUCUUGCUACAAGUGUGGCAAGGAGGGGCACAUGGCCAAGGACUGCCCCAAGGGGUUUGCGGUGUGUUUUCACUGCAAUCAGACCGGACACCGGAAGGCAGAGUGUCCGCAGUUGCGAGGAUCAUCUCAGGGAGCACCUCAGGGAUCUGCCCCUGCCGCCAUCAGAGCUACCGAGAGUCGGCCAGUGAAGGCCGAGGCGCCGAGGGCACGAGGGAGAGCCUUUCAGUUGACCGCGGAGGAGGUCCGCGCAGCGCCCGAUGUCGUGGCUGGUAUGUAUUCUUUCGUGUAUUUAUUUUGAUGUUGAGAUAUUAUGCUUAUAUUAUGUUAUGCGUAGGUACUUUUCUUGUGAAUUCUGUACCUGCCUUGGUGUUAUUUGACUCGGGUGCGAGUCGGUCUUUUGUAUCUUUGGCUUUUAGUCAGCAUAUCAGUGUUAGUCGUGAGGCGUUGAGUCGGUCUCUGAGAGUUUCCAUAGCUGAUAAGAGGGUGAUAUAUGCCACGGAGGUUCUCCGAGGGUGCGUAGUCGAGAUUUUCGGAGUUGAGUUCCCGAUUGAUCUGGUUCCUAUUGCGAUGGGUGAUGUCUGUGUCAUUGUGGGCAUGGACUGGUUGAGCAGAUUCGGUACGGUUAUCAACUGCGAGCGACAGCUGGUGACCAUACGAGACCCUAGCGAGGGAGUUCUUUCGGUGUACGGCGAGGGUACACGUUCUGGAUCAGCGUUUUGUUCGGCCGCUAGGGCGAGGCAGUGUCUACAGUAGGGUUGUAAGGGUUUUGUGGCGUAUGUGAUGGACACGCGGGUGGAUUCCGAGAGGCCGAGGUCAGUUAAGGAGUUUCCAGUAGUGCGUGAGUUCCCGGAUGUAUUUCCCGAGGAGUUGCCGGGUGUGCCUCCUGUGAGGCAAGUGGAGUUCAGUAUCGAUUUGGUUCCGGGGGCCGCGCCUAUCGCUAAGGUGCCUUAUCGCCUUGCACCUCCAGAGAUGCAAGAGUUAUCCUCGCAGCUUCAGGAGCUGCUGGGGAAGGGGUUUAUUCGGCCGAGCAGCUCGCCGUGGGGAGCGCCUAUCCUGUUCGUCAAGAAGAAGGAUGGUUCACACCGGAUGUGCAUUGAUUACCGGGAGUUGAACAAGCUGACGGUCAAGAACCGUUACCCGUUGCCGAGGAUCGACGAUUUGUUCGAUCAGUUGCAGGGAGCAUCUUGGUUCUCCAAGAUCGAUUUGAGGUCUGGAUAUCAUCAGGUGAGGGUGCGAGAUGAGGACGUCCAGAAGACAGCGUUCAGGACGCGUUAUGGGCAUUAUGAGUUUGUGGUGAUGCCUUUUGGGCUCACCAAUGCCCCGGCGGUGUUCAUGGAUCUCAUGAACCGAGUGUGUAGGCCGAUGAUGGAUCGGUCGGUGAUUGUAUUUAUCGACGACAUUCUGGUAUAUCCAAGAUCUAGAGAGCAGCAUGAGGAGCAAUUGAGAGAGGUUCUCGGAUUUCUGAGAUCGGAGAGGCUUUAUGCCAAAGUCUCCAAGUGUGAUUUCUGGUUGCGGGAGGUCCAGUUCUUGGGACAUCUCGUUAAUCAGGAAGGGAUAUUGGUCGAUCCGGCCAAGGUUGAGGCGGUGAUGAGUUGGGAGGUGCCGAAGUCACCCUCCGAGAUCAGGAGUUUCCUAGGGUUGGCAGGGUAUUAUCGGAGGUUUAUCAAGGAUUUCUCCAAGAUCGCAGUGCCACUCACCAGAUUGACCCGGAAGGGUGUUGCUUUUUCAUGGGGCCCCGAGCAGCAGGCCUCCUUUGAGACACUUCGCCAAAGGUUGUGCGAAGCCCCGGUGUUAGCCCUCCCGGAAGGGAUGGAGGACUUUGUGGUAUACUGUGAUGCAUCGAUUUUGGGGUUGGGAGCGGUGCUGAUGCAGAGAGGGCAUGUGAUAGCAUAUGCAUCGAGGCAGCUGAAGCCUCAUGAGACGAGAUAUCCCACCCAUGAUCUAGAGUUGGGGGCAGUAGUGUUCGCCCUCAAGAUUUGGCGUCACUACUUGUAUGGGGUUCGGUGUACGAUAUACACGGACCAUAAGAGUUUGAAGUAUUUGAUGGAUCAGCCCAACCUAAAUAUGCGUCAGAGAAGGUGGUUGGAUGUGGUCAAGGAUUAUGAUUGUGAGAUCCUGUACCACCCAGGCAAGGCUAAUGUGGUAGCCGAUGCAUUGAGCCGCAGGGCGGAGAGCACCCCGCUGCGGGAGGUAUGUUUGAGAUUGACCGUGAUAGCUCCAGUGUUGGACGCCAUUCGUGGGGCACAGGCCGAGGCUGUGCAACCUGAGAUGCAGAAGAGGGAACGGGUUGUUGGUUUGGUUUCAGAGUUCGUUACCGAUGGUCGGGGGCUUAUGACAUUUCAGGGGCGUAUCUGGGUGCCGUUUGUGGGAGGAACGCGUACCAUUUUGAUGGAGGAGGCUCAUCGGUCGAAAUUUUCGAUCCAUCCGGGGGCCACUAAGAUGUAUUUGGAUCUGAGAAAGGAGUAUUGGUGGCCCUGUAUGAAGAGGGAUGUCGCGUGGUUUGUUGAGAGGUGCUUGACCUGCCGUAGGGUUAAGGCCGAGCACCAGAGGCCGCAUGGUAAGUUGCAGCCAUUGGAGGUUCCCGAAUGGAAGUGGGAACAGAUCACUAUGGAUUUCAUCACCAAAUUGCCAAGGACUGCCAGAGGAGUUGAUGCAAUUUGGGUGAUUGUGGACAGGUUGACGAAGAGCGCUCACUUCCUUGCCAUCAGUGAGAGUUCUUCAGCAGAGAAAUUGGCGGAGGUGUAUGUGAGGGAAGUGGUAUCUCGGCAUGGGGUGCCGAUCUCGAUUGUUUCAGACCGUGAUGUGCGUUUCACUUCCAGAUUCUGGAAGAAAUUUCAUGAGGAGUUGGGUACUAGACUGCAUUUUAGUACCGCAUAUCAUCCCCAGACAGACGGUCAGAGUGAGCGGACGAUUCAGACGCUCGAGGACAUGCUCCGGGCAUGUGUGUUGGAUUUCGGGGGUAGCUGGGAUGCAUAUUUGCCCUUGGCAGAGUUUUCCUACAACAACAGCCAUCAUUCGAGCAUUGGUAUGCCACCCUUUGAGCUGUUGUAUGGGAGGAGGUGUCGGACCCCCAUUUGUUGGGGAGAGGUUGGGCAGAGAGUGAUGGGCAGUACAGAGAUCGUGCUUCAGACGACAGAGCAGAUUCAGCAGGUCAGACAGAGGUUAUUGACCGCCCAGAGCCGACAGAAGAGUUAUGCAGACAGACGCCGGUCCGAGCUUGAGUUUCAGGUCGGCGACUUCGUUCUCCUGAAGGUCUCUCCUUGGAAAGGAGUGAUUCGAUUCAGGAAGAGGGGCAAGUUGGGGCCCCGGUAUAUUGGGCCAUUUCGUGUGAUUGCAAGGAUAGGUCGGGUAGCCUAUCGGUUGGAGUUGCCAGCGGAGUUGGGUCAGAUCCAUGACACUUUUCAUGUGUCGCAGUUGAGGAAGUGCAUAGCCGAUGAGUCGGCAGUGGUUCCAUUGGAGGAUAUUCAGGUGGAUGCGAGCCUGAAUUACGCGGAGAGACCAGUGGCUAUCAGGGAUCGAAAGAUCAAGGUUCUGAGGAACAAGGAGGUACCUCUGGUGUUGGUUCAGUGGCAACACCGGAAGGGAUCAGAGAUGACCUGGGAGCCGGAGCGCGAGAUGCGGGAGCAGCAUCCGGAGCUAUUUUCAGAGCGAGACUUCGAGGGCGAAGUCUAGUUCUAGUGGGGGAGAGUUGUAACAGCCCGGAUUUCCAGGUAUCUUUUUUGCAUGUAUUUCUUUGGUGUUUUGUGAGGGGACUCGGCGAGUUGGAGCUCAAACUCGCCGAGUAGGAUCGCGGUUCUGGACGCGGGUUCGCGCCUGGACUCGGCGAGUCCAAGGAAUGGACUCGGCGAGUCCGCGCUGUUUAAUGAAACCCUAAUUUCCCGGUCCUGAGCCCUAUUUAAAGGACCUUAUGGCCCUUCAUUGCGGCUACCUUGACCUUGAGAGCACCAAAACAGCUGAGGGUUCUUGUGAGUGAGAUAAGAGGCCAUUAUUCACCAAUUUUGUGUGUAUUUGCAAGAAAGGAAGGGGAAAGUCAAGCUAGGAGAGUUGGGGAGCUUGGAUCUACUUCCAUUUCGUCAGAGGAAGCUUCUUGAGGUAUCAUUCAGAGCUUAUUCUCGUAUUUUUGUUGAUAUGGUCAAAUCUAGGGUUUCUUCAUGCCUUGUUUGCCUUGUAUUUGGAGUGUGAGAGGUCCCAUGGGGAUAUGGUACCUAGAUCUGGACCUUAGUAGGUCCAGAGAGUCCCAAAUGCCAUGCUUUAUGUCUUUCCUUUUGAGUUGGAGACUUAGGUUGCCAUUUUAGAGGUCAUUUCUUCAAAAGAAGCCUUGUAGGCGUUGCAUGGUAGCCAAGACUGUGACUUUACGUGAUGAAUGUGCUUGGGAGGGCCAGAUCUAUGAGUUGUUGGAGCGGAUCUGACCUCAGAAGCGAGAUUGAGUUGAUGCAUGGCAUGGACUCGCCGAGUCCGAAGAACAGACUCGGCGAGUAGCAUGAAGAUUGUCCUUAACCACUCAGCGAGUGGUCUUGCCGAGUUAAGGGUUGACUCAGUGAGUCAGGGAGAGUUAGAGAGGGUUGACAGGUGGACUGAGUCGAGCUGGAACUCGCCGAGUUGUUCUUGAGACUCGGCGAGUUGAGUCGUGGUGGCCCCGCGAUUCAUGCCAGGUGGAACUCGUCGAGUCAGGGAAGUACUCGACGUGUCAAAAGAGGAUCCUAGGGAGUCAGUGAACACGUAUAGACUCGCCGAGUCGCUCUAGUGCACUCGCCGAGUCCAGUCAAAGUUGACCGUUGACCGUUGACUAGAGUUGACCAGUGUUG
rnacentral:lncRNA from 1 species